CUCUGGCCAGUGUCCCAGCCACUCUGUGGCAUCUCAUGAGCUGGGCAGGCACAGAUAUUGUCUUCCCACUGUGGCUGCACCUGUCUCUGAGUCUGGCCUCACUCUGGCUUCCUGCCCAGGCUGGUCCCAGGAACUUGGCCUGGGACACCUGAACUCUGGACUAAGGUCUACUCUGGUCCAUGAAGAAGGGCCACCCCAGUCCCUGAGACCAGGGCUAGCUCUCAGCAGCCAGUGGGUGACCUCUGUGGGUGUCCUGGGAAGUCCUGAGGGCCCCAGAUGGAGGGGGAGGCAGACCAUGGAGGAUGAGGAGCCCCCGGGGGAGGGGAGGCCUGACACUCCUGGAGGUGGAGCCUGCUGGGCACAGCGCCACAGGUACGGGGUGCCAGAUGGACACCUCCAAGGCCAUGCCCUGUGCUGCUGCCCCAGACAAGGCUCCCACCCAUCGGCAUGCCGCCCCCAUUUUUGUCUCUAACAUUCUAGAAAAUCAGGAAGCCACCGCCGCCACCACCCCCAGAAAAGGUCAGUGUGGAUUUGGUUUUCAUUUGUUCCCUGCCUGGAGAGGACGGGGACCCUCACCCACAGCAUCCUGAGGCCUGGGCCCAACAUCUCCCUCCCAAGGGGCAAGGGGUGGCCCCAGGGUCUGGGAUGCACAGUGAUGUCCCCGGAAGACCCCUCCAGGCUCCCAGCAUGCCCAGACAGGGCACAGAAGGAGCAGGGAGGCAGGAGCAGGACAGAGGGAGCUGCAGUGUGGGCUGGCAAAGGCUUGAGCCAGUGUCUGGGACCGCACAGCCUGUAGGCCAGGCCUCAGACAGCAAGGGCGGCCCCAGGACAGGCAAGAGUUUAGGAGCCGAGGCGCUGGCAUCUGGGGAGAGGCCGUGGCAGUGCUGGAAGAAGGCUGUGGGAGGUCCUCACAUAGGGCUGUGCCCUGUGCUGGGUGCAGCUCCUCGUGCGACCUCCACUCAGCCCAAAAUAUAGAGGAUCAGCCAGCCCUGUGCAGUCAUGGGACUCCACGUCCCUGCUCCCCGACAGCCACGGGCAAGGAAGUAGACAGUUGCAUUUCUCUUCUAGAAGCCCAAGAAAGUGCCUCCUCCACCGCCCCCGCCCCCGCCGCCCCCCGUGACCGUGUGUCCCACAGUGAUCGUCUGCUGCUGUGCCUGCCAGGGGGUGUGGGUGAGCAGAGUGUCCCAGGGCACCCUGGACGGCUUCUACAACUACAUCCAGCCCACCUGCCACCCUUCACCGAUGAUGUUGUGCCGGGCCAGGGGCCAGGAGAGGUGGCCCAACCUCGCCCUCAUGAAGGCCCCCAGCAGCUCCAGCCUCUGCCUUCAACCCAGCCUGGAGAGUCUCCCCCUCAUCUGGUGUCCCCAGUGCCACCACCUCCCAGACAGGUGCGCCAGGCCUUCCGCCAGGAUGCUGCCGCUGCCCGCUCCCCAGAAUCAGGCUCUCUGCAGGAGCACCUUGUCCCUGCCUCCCCUGUAGCCCGGCCUCUCGGCACCCACACCCCAGAUGAAGAGGCUUUGCUUGCUGAGUGUGACGUGCGCCCGAGUCUUGCUUUAUGGGCAAAGCAGUAGAAGCUUGUUGCCAGUGGCCACGGCUUGUCACCUGGGGAGAUGCUGCACUGUGGGAGACGACCUCUGGGUGCACCUGCUGGGACAGGGCACCUAGGGUGGUGCGGCCUCAAAGCAUGGGUGAGCCUCUGUCCCAGCAGCCCUGUCACCGAGGGCUGGGGACAGAGAGAUGUGUGCUCCGAUCUCUGUGAGAACAGUCCCCAAGCAUCUGUGAGAUAUGAACUUGACCCUCAUCUCCCACAACCCCUAAUGUUCCAGAGAAGCCUUCGAAUGCCUAGUGCUGGGUGCUUCAUGGUAGGGUCUCAUGGUAUGGCCACAUAAAACUCUGAGUCAAGGAGGCAGCGAGGCCACCUCCCUCAGGAAGCCAGACCUCCUUCCUGACCCCCACACUGUCCCCACGUGCAUGGGCACUCGGGAUCUCGGGAUUCCAUCCGCUCAGAGAAGCCACACUGUGUCCUUCUUUCUUUCUUUUUUUUUUUAAAA
rnacentral:lncRNA from 1 species